UACGUAGGGUCCAAGCGUUAUCCGGAAUCACUGGGCGUAAAGCGUGCGUAGGUGGCGCGUAAGUGAGAUGUUAAAUCGUGUGGCUCAACCAUAUCGAUGCAUCUCAUACUGGCGUGCUAGAGGACGGCAGAGGCAAGUGGAAUUAGCGUGUAGCAGUGAAAUGCGUAGAUAUUGCUAGGAACACCAAUGGCGAAGGCAGCUUGCUGGGACCACUC
rnacentral:rRNA from 1 species